CAGUCGCCGCGGUAAUACGUAGGGUGCAAGCGUUAAUCGGAAUUACUGGGCGUAAAGCGUGCGCAGGCGGUUUGUUAAGACAGAUGUGGAAUCCCCGGGCUUAACCUGGGAACUGCAUUUGUGACUGGCAAGCUAGAGUCUGGCAGAGGGGGGUGGAAUUCCGCGUGUAGCAGUGAAAUGCGUAGAUAUGCGGAGGAACACCGACGGCGAAGGCAGCCCCCUGGGCCAACACUGACGCUCAUGCACGAAAGCGUGGGGAGCAAACAGGAUUAGAUACCCCCGUAGUCCCUGUCUCUUAUAC
rnacentral:rRNA from 1 species